GAAGGAUAUCUACAGCGUCUCUUACUGAAGUAAUAAUCUCACUAUGGAAAAUAUUUGAUUGGAUAAACUGCCAGAAUGUUGAAGCAAUCCCACCCAAAAUAUUUUGUGGCAAUAAUGACACUGAUUUCUCCAUCAUAGCAUCAGUCAAGCUGGAAUGCUUAAAAAUGCUCAUUUCAAUAUAACAUGUGGGCCAUCAGAGGUAGAGAAAGAUGAAGAACAACAUGUGCACCACCGAGAUUUAAUGGACUGGGAUGGUCCAGCACAAGGCGGUAUCCUUUGAGACACAGAAGACAAAUGGAUUUUCCUGCUCAUCAACUUAUGAGCUGGCCAUAUACAGAUCAAAAAUAUUUAGCAAGAAGAAAACCACAAAAGCU